rnacentral:rRNA from 2 species
GUCGUAGUCCGGAUCGGAGUCUGCAACUCGACUCCGUGAAGUCGGAAUCGCUAGUAAUCGCAAAUCAGAAUGUUGCGGUGAAUACGUUCCCGGGCCUUGUACACACCGCCCGUCACACCAUGGGAGUGGGUUGCACCAGAAGUAGAUAGCUUAACCUUCGGGAGGGCGUUUACCACGGUGUGAUUCAUGACUGGGGUGAAGUCGUAACAAGGUAACCCUAGGGGAACCUGGGGUUGGAUCACCUCCUUACCUUAA